GUGAAUCAUCGAAUCUUUGAACGCAAAUUGCACUCUCCUCGGAGAGUAGGCCUGUUUGAGGGUCAGCCUAUAAAAAAGCGACAUCGUUGCGGUUUCGCGGUGGCUUUCUCCUGUAAUUGGUUUAUCUUACAUCCUUUUUGGUGUUAAACGCCGUAAAAUUUUCUUUUUGGUUCCAUGAACGUGUCUAAGAUUUAGUUCUUUACACGUUUAAGGUAUCGAUUUUUAUGAGACGUGACCAUCAUAUCGGAUCGCG
rnacentral:misc_RNA from 1 species